CCUACGGGGGACAGCAGUGGGGAAUAUUGGGCAAUGGGCGCAAGCCUGACCCAGCAACGCCGCGUGAAGGAAGAAGGCUCUCGGGUUGUAAACUUCUUUUCUCAGGGACGAAGAAAGUGACGGUACCUGAGGAAUAAGCCACGGCUAACUACGUGCCAGCAGCCGCGCGAAUACGUAGGUGGCAAGCGUUAUCCGGAUUUAUUGGGUGUAAAGGGCGUGUAGGGGGGAGUGCAAGUCAGAUGUGAAAACUCAGGGCUCAACCCUGAGCCUGCAGUUGAAACUGUGGUUCUUGAGUGCUGGAGAGGCAAGCGGAAUUCCGUGUGUAGCGGUGAAAUGCGUAGAUAUACGGAAGAACACCAGUGGCGAAGGCAGAUUGCUGGACAGUAACUGACGCUGAGGCGCGAAAGCGUGGGGAGCGAACAGGAUUAGAUACCCUUGUAGUC
rnacentral:rRNA from 1 species